rnacentral:lncRNA from 1 species
ACUUAGAUGACUUCCUUAGAUAUUCCAGAUGAUUCUAAGGGAAAAUUAAAUGCAAAUUAUUAUGACAUAUUAUUUAACCCUAUUACGUUAUGAUUAUAAUAGCAGAGACCAGUCAUCUUUUUACCAGAAUGUUGUAUGUUUCUGAGUGAUCAGAUGCAUUGCUUUCUCAAUCCAAAAAUAACAUGUACUAAUAAUUCACUGCUAUUUCAAAAAGUUAGGCUUAGGAUGUUC